rnacentral:rRNA from 1 species
GACGAACGCUGGCGGCGUGCUUAACACAUGCAAGUCGAACGAAGUGGCGAACGGGUGAGUAACGCGUAAUCAACCUGCCCUUCAGAGGGGGACAACAGUUGGAAACGACUGCUAAUACCGCAUACUGAAGGAGGGGAUUGCGUCUGAUUAGCUAGUUGGAGGGGUAACGGCCCACCAAGGCGAUGAUCAGUAGCGGGUCUGGGAGGAUGAGCAGUCACACUGGAACUGAGACACGGUCCAGACUCCUACGGGAGGCAGCAGUGGGGAAUAUUGGACAAUGGGCGAAAGCCUGAUCCAGCCAUGCCGCGUGUGUGAAGAAGGUCUUCGGAUUGUAAAGCACUUUAAGUUGGGAGCGUUAACCGCAGAAGAAGCACCGGCUAACUCCGUGCCAGCAGCCGCGUAAUUC